rnacentral:snRNA from 1 species
AGAUGUGAGGUUGAAUAGACUAUGACAUCUGUUGCCCCAUGGAUAUCCAGGGUUGAAUUCUGAUAUGGCAGGCUAGGCUGGUGUUUCCCUUCUCCCCCCUUUUCUUCCCUAAACCAGCCCAUGUGUGACACUCUGGCAGUUGCUCAGUUGGUAGAAGAAGACUACCAUCUAAAUAGAAGAGGAAUGUUCUCUGGCCAAGGGUGUAGGAACAGCUGUGCUACUUAGCUCGACCCUUGGAACAGGCUAGAGACAAGCAGAUUUUUUUUUAUUUGUUUAUUUGUUCAUUUUGUUUGCUUUCAAU